CAGUCGCCGCGGUAAAACGAAAGGGGCUAGCGUUGUUCGGAAUCACUGGGCGUAAAGCGCACGUAGGCGGACUUUUAAGUCAGGGGUUAAAUCCCUAGGCUCAACCUUGGAACUGCCUUUGAUACUGGAAGUCUUGAGUUCGGGAGAGGUGAGUGGAACUGUGAGUGUAGAGGUGAAAUUCGUAGAUAUUCGCAAGAACACCAGUGGCGAAGGCGGCUCACUGGCCCGAUACUGACGCUGAGGUGCGAAAGCGUGGGGAGCAAACAGGAUUAGAUACCCGAGUAGUCCCUGUCUCUUAUAC
rnacentral:rRNA from 1 species